rnacentral:tRNA from 1 species
AGCAGGUAGUCGAGACGGUCCUUGGCGCCGGGGGCGUCGGGGUCGAGGAAGCCGGUGGCCGCCUCGGGGUUCUUCCCCAUCUGCUU